rnacentral:rRNA from 1 species
GACGAACGCUGGCGGCGUGCUUAACACAUGCAAGUCGAACGGAAAGGCCCUGCUUUUGUGGGGUGCUCGAGUGGCGAACGGGUGAGUAACACGUGAGUAACCUGCCCUUGACUUUGGGAUAACUUCAGGAAACUGGGGCUAAUACCGGAUAGGAGCUCCUGCUGCAUGGUGGGGGUUGGAAAGUUUCGGCGGUUGGGGAUGGACUCGCGGCUUAUCAGCUUGUUGGUGGGGUAGUGGCUUACCAAGGCUUUGACGGGUAGCCGGCCUGAGAGGGUGACCGGCCACAUUGGGACUGAGAUACGGCCCAGACUCCUACGGGAGGCAGCAGUGGGGAAUAUUGCACAAUGGGCGGAAGCCUGAUGCAGCAACGCCGCGUGCGGGAUAACGGCCUUCGGGUUGUAAACCGCUUUCGCCUGUGACGAAGCGUGAGUGACGGUAAUGAGUAAAGAAGCACCGGCUAACUACGUG